rnacentral:rRNA from 1 species
UACGGGGGGGGCAAGCGUUGUUCGGAAUUACUGGGCGUAAAGGGCGCGUAGGCGGCCCGCUAAGUCAGACGUGAAAUCCCUCAGCUUAACUGGGGAACUGCGUCUGAGACUGGCGAGCUCGAGUGCAGGAGAGGAACGCGGAAUUCCAGGUGUAGCGGUGAAAUGCGUAGAUAUCUGGAGGAACACCGGUGGCGAAGGCGGCGUUCUGGACUGCAACUGACACUGAGGAACGAAAGCCAGGGUAGCAAACGGG